rnacentral:sRNA from 12 species
UGGGCUGGUCGAAAGACCCAUGUCCAACCACUACGGAGGGGAGACUCCCC